rnacentral:lncRNA from 1 species
GUCUAUCGAAAUGCGAAUCAUCGCUAUCUUUUUGCCUUGGAAAAAGAAUAUUGAAAUAUUUCUGUAGUUUUUAGUCGUAGCUGGUCAAACGAUAAUGAGCGUGUCCGAACACGGAGGUCCUCUAAUCGGACGUUCGCGGGUCAAAUCCAGGGAAGGGUCUACGACAAGGGCGUUCGGAGAACUCUUUAAAUAGGAGAUCAUUGGCUAUGGAAUUGCAAUUGUCUAUGAAUGGAAUCACCGCAGUCUCUUCGACGUGUCUCAACGUGUCAGUCGAGAAGGAUCUCAGAUAAAUUGGAUUAGGAUGUUUACUUUCAUUACUAGAGAAGACAGCAAAACAGAGUUUGAUUAUUUUGGGCACUCCUGUGGCAGCCUGAAGCCGCUUUCUCUGUGGGUUCUACUCCGUUGAGGCAUGACUUUAUCCAACAGCAUUCAGAGAUCAUAUACAAGAUUCCAAAAAAAAUGAUGGAAUUUUCGUCGUGCACCAAGAGAAAAGGAUAUGCGGAUUCCAGGAUGUCCUCGGGUCGUUCUUUGACCAUUUCUGCAUGCAAAUGAUCUAAUCGAAGACCGCACCAUUCAGCACAAAGAACUUUGCAACAAUUAUGACCGAUUAUUAGUGUUUCCUAAUGAAAUAUUCUCAUAUAUAGCUGAAGAUUGAAUGCUGAGUCUAUUGUAUGAUGUGCCAGAGUAAUUCAAAACCGUCUGUCGCUUGAACUUUCGCUUAUUUCGUACGAAUAUGCUCACCGAAUUAAUUCAUUAGUCGAAUUAUUCAACGUAUGGCGUAUUUUCCAUUUUAAAAGGAAAGAAAUUGUAAUAUCUUGAUAGCUCUCAGUCGUUGUUCAAUUUUCUAACCAGAUUCUAGUUUCCAAGAUCAAAAUAAAUACAACUACUGCUCUGUCA